rnacentral:rRNA from 1 species
UACGGAGGGUGCGAGCGUUGUCCGGAAUCACUGGGCGUAAAGGGCGCGUAGGCGGCCUGAUAAGUAGGGGGUGAAAUCCUGCGGCUUAACCGCAGGGCUGCCUUCUAAACUGUCAGGCUGGAGCACAGUAGAGGCAGGUGGAAUUCCCGGUGUAGCGGUGGAAUGCGUAGAGAUCGGGAAGAACAUCAGUGGCGAAGGCGGGUCUCUGGGCCGAUACUGACGCUGAGGAGCGAAAGCGUGGGGAGCGAACAGG